CCGACCUUAGCUCAGUUGGUAGAGCGGAAGACUGUAGUGGUAUUACUGAAAUCUUUAGGUCGCUGGUUCGAAUCCGGCAGGUCGGA
rnacentral:tRNA from 2 species